rnacentral:rRNA from 1 species
AGUGAACGCUGGCGGUAGGCCUAACACAUGCAAGUCGAACGGCAGCACAGUAAGAGCUUGCUCUUACGGGUGGCGAGUGGCGGACGGGUGAGGAAUACAUCGGAAUCUACUUUUUCGUGGGGGAUAACGUAGGGAAACUUACGCUAAUACCGCAUACGACCUACGGGUGAAAGCAGGGGAUCUUCGGACCUUGCGCGAUUGAAUGAGCCGAUGUCGGAUUAGCUAGUUGGCGGGGUAAAGGCCCACCAAGGCGACGAUCCGUAGCUGGUCUGAGAGGAUGAUAAGCCACACUGGAGCUGAGACACGGUCCAGACUCCUACGGGAGGCAGCAGUGGGGAAUAUUGGACAAUGGGCGCAAGCCUGAUCCAGCCAUACCGCGUGGGUGAAGAAGGCCUUCGGGUUGUAAAGCCCUUUUGUUGGGAAAGAAAAGCAGCAGGUUAAUACCCCGCUGUUCUGACGGUACCCAAAGAAUAAGCACCGGCUAACUUCGUG